rnacentral:rRNA from 1 species
GAUGAACGCUGGCGGCGUGCCUAACACAUGCAAGUCGAACGGGAACUCUAAGAAGAAGCUUCGGCAGAUUUUUAGAAAUUCUAGUGGCGGACGGGUGAGUAACGCGUGGGUAACCUGCCCUUAAGAGGUGAAUAACAACGAGAAAUCGGUGCUAAUACACCAUAUGCUUACGAAGUCGCAUGACUUUGUGAGGAAAGAAUUUCGCUUAAGGAUGGACCCGCGUUUGAUUAGCCAGUUGGCAGGGUAACGGCCUACCAAAGCAACGAUCAAUAGCCGGCCUGAGAGGGUGAACGGCCACAUUGGAACUGAGACACGGUCCAAACUCC